UUAUAAAUUCUUUGCACAUAAGCGUUGCAGGAUGUUUUUUGAAUGAUGCCCUGAAAUAUAGUUACUUACUGAUAUAAAGAAAGCUCAUCUUUCCCACCAGCUGAGCUAAAGCAAAGGCUAUUUCUUGCCACUCCCCUCGCUAAAACUGGGGCAAACCUUCUGACAGUUCCUACUGCUGCAGGCAGUCCCCUCUCUCGUAGUUAACUGCUUCACUGCUGGCCCAGCAGCUGCAGCUGCCCCGCAUUGUCACAUCACACUGAUGCAUCCUGGAAGCCGAGGAAAUGUCAGCAAUACAUACCUGUUUGCAGAGUUUCUGAGCUCACUGAGACCCUGUUGUGAGAGGCGCUAGACAGCAACGCAACACUGGCCAUACUUAUUCAAAAGGUCUCUUGUACAGAAGAAACAUCAACAAAUCACAACACCUAAAAGGAAUUAGAACAAAACAAAACACAAAACAAAUCUUACCAAAAUGUUUUAAUUAAGCCAAGCUUUUGUUUGGA
rnacentral:lncRNA from 1 species